rnacentral:rRNA from 1 species
GCAGUCGAGCGGACCGAAGGGAGCUUGCUCCUUUAGGUUAGCGGCGGACGGGUGAGUAACACGUGGGCAACCUGCCCUGCAGACUGGGAUAACUUCGGGAAACCGGAGCUAAUACCGGAUAACACCGAAAACCGCAUGGUUUUCGGUUGAAAGGCGGCAUUAGCUGUCACUGCAGGAUGGGCCCGCGGCGCAUUAGCUAGUUGGUGAGGUAACGGCUCACCAAGGCGACGAUGCGUAGCCGACCUGAGAGGGUGACCGGCCACACUGGGACUGAGACACGGCCCAGACUCCUACGGGAGGCAGCAGUAGGGAAUCUUCCGCAAUGGACGAAAGUCUGACGGAGCAACGCCGCGUGAGCGAAGAAGGUCUUCGGAUCGUAAAGCUCUGUUGUCAGGGAAGAACAAGUGCCGUUCGAACAGGGCGGUACCUUGACGGUACCUGACGAGGAAGCCACGGCUAACUACGUGCCAGCAGCCGCGGUAAU